AUCGCGUGGGUACACGCGCC
rnacentral:snRNA from 1 species